ACCUCCCCAACUCAUCCCCUAUUCACUGUGGCAUGCAGAUAUUGUAACCUAAUUGUCUUUCUUUUAAAAGGUAUCUCUGAAUUCAAAUUCCUAAGAGAAUAUUUCCUUGAGACUUUUGAACUUCAUAUAGAUUGUGUGUCCCCUUUUGUAAGAUUUCAUGCAACAACUUCAUUUGGCUUCAGCUGGGAGUGCAAUUAAUGAGAUUAAUGGAAUCCCUCCUGCAGUUAUGUAUUCCAUCUAUAUUGAAAAGAUUCACCUUCUGAUACUGUUCCCUCUACACAUUAAAGUAUAUGCAUUUCUAGUUUAUGAAAAUUUCGGCUGUCUCAUCCCACCAAUUAAGCCAAUUUACUUAAUGACAAUGAGGACCUUACUUUGUCUGAAUAUUAAUUCCGUCAUCUGCUUUACAACUAAAAAGGUAAAAUGUAUCUUUUGAUCAUUUAUUCACUUCAAUAUAACUUGUUCAGUUUUAAAAAUGAUUUUUUUUCUUUCUUCCAUCAAACAUAAGUGAUGAAGAUGUUCAUUUGCAUCAUCUUUAAUAACAUUACACUAGCAUAAAUGUGUGUGUAUGUUUGUGUGUGUAAAUCUGUCUUGGAUAUUUG
rnacentral:lncRNA from 1 species